rnacentral:rRNA from 1 species
GACGAACCGUGCGAACGUUGUUCGGAUUCACUGGGCUUAAAGGGCGCGUAGGCGGGCGGUCAAGUCAGGGGUGAAAUCUUUCGGCUCAACCGGAAAAGUGCCUUUGAUACUGGCCGUCUCGAGGGAGGUAGGGGCAUGCGGAACUUCCGGUGGAGCGGUGAAAUGCGUAGAGAUCCGGAAGAACACCGGUGGCGAAGGCGGUCUGCUGGGCCAAGACUGACGCUGAGGCGCGACAGCGUGGGGAGCAAACAGG